AGCGAACGCUGGCGGCAGGCUUAACACAUGCAAGUCGAACGCCCCGCAAGGGGAGUGGCAGACGGGUGAGUAACACGUGGGAACGUACCCUUUGGUUCGGAAUAACUUGGGGAAACUCAAGCUAAUACCGGAUAAGCCCUUAUGGGGAAAGGCUUACUGCCGAAGGAUCGGCCCGCGUCAGAUUAGCUAGUUGGUGAGGUAAUGGCUCACCAAGGCGACGAUCAGUAGCUGGUCUGAGAGGAUGAUCAGCCACACUGGGACUGAGACACGGCCCGGGCUCCUACGGGAGGCAGCAGUGGGGAAUAUUGGACAAUGGGGGCAACCCUGAUCCAGCCAUGCCGCGUGAGUGAUGAAGGCCUUAGGGUUGUAAAGCUCUUUUACCCGGGACGAUAAUGACUGUACCGGGAGAAUAAGCCCCGGCUAACUUCGUGCCAGCCGCCGCGGUAA
rnacentral:rRNA from 1 species